rnacentral:rRNA from 1 species
GUUAUACGUANGGGGCNAGNUUUUNCNGANUUNNUGGUNUNAAGGGAGCNCAGNGGCNCUNUNAGUUGGGAGNNAAACCCNGGGGUCAACCCCGGGACUGNUCCCAAACUAUNGUGCUUGAGUAUGGAGAGGUAGGCGGAAUUCCUAGUGUAGCGGUGAAAUGCUUAGAUAUUAGGAAGAACACCGGUGGCGAAGGCGGCCUACUGGACCAAAACUGACACUGAGGCUCGAAAGCGUGGGUAGCAAACAGGAUUAGAUACCCUGGUAGUCCACGCUGUAAACGAUGAAUACUAGGUGCUGGGAGCCAUAAGGCUUUCGGUGCCGUCGCAAACGCAUUAAGUAUUCCACCUGGGGUGUACGUUCGCAAGAAUGAAACUCAAAGGAAUUGACGGGGACCCGCACAAGCGGUGGAGCAUGUGGUUUAAUUCG